AAACCAACAGGGAUUGCCCCAGUAGCGGCGAGUGAAGCGGCAAGAGCUCAGAUUUGAAAUCGUGUUUCGGCACGAGUUGUAGAGUGUAGGCGGGAGUCUCUGUGGAGCGCGGUGUCCAAGUCCCUUGGAACAGGGUGCCUGAGAGGGUGAGAGCCCCGUAGGGUGCUGCGCGAAGCUUUUGAGGCCCUGCUGACGAGUCGAGUUGUUUGGGAAUGCAGCUCCAAGCGGGUGGUAAAUUCCAUCUAAGGCUAAAUAUUGGCGAGAGACCGAUAGCGAACAAGUACUGUGAAGGAAAGAUGAAAAGCACUUUGAAAAGAGAGUGAAACAGCACGUGAAAUUGUUGAAAGGGAAGGGUAUUGGGCUCGACAUGGGGGGUGCGCACCGCUGUCUCUUGUAGGCGGCGCUCUGGGCGCCCUCUGGGCCAGCAUCGGUUCCUGCUGCGGGAGAAGGGGCUCCGGAAAGUGGCUCUUCGGAGUGUUAUAGCCGGGGCCAGAUGCCGCGUGUGGGGACCGAGGACUGCGGCUUCUGUCUCGGAUGCUG
rnacentral:rRNA from 1 species